AGCUAAUACAGGCGCCUGGGUCUCGGGUCCUUAACACAAAAACUCGUGUGCCUUCGUGACCAUCGAAGACAACACAUUCUUCCGGGUUGCCCAGUUUUAAAGAAACACAAUAUGAAUAUUCAAGCAUGCAAAAUAUUGUGUGGUGAUUGGUCGAUGGUCAUCUCCUCCUCGUUUGGGUUUUUCCCUGCUCAGCACAGGUGUCUGGACCACAAAGACGAGUUGUUAUUCGCGUUCCCCAUCGGCCUUGAGAUGUCGUUCCUGUCUGGACAUCCUGUUCCACAAUACUUUGAAGAAAACCAAUUAAUGUAGCCUGCACAUUCCUUUCCACUUAUUAAUCACCACACUACUACUAGAAAUGAUAUUGAUAUGAUUAUAUGUGUCUAACGCAGCCUUAAUCAAAUGUGUUUGCAAACUGCCGAAAGUACAUUUCCUUUUACUUCCCAAACCUUCAAUCAAUGUAUUAUGGCAGAGCUCCCCAACCCCGGGUCCACGGACCGGUACCGGUUCGUGGGUCACUUGGUACCGGGCCGCCAAACCGCACAGAAAAAAAAAAUUUUUUUUUUUUUUUUUAAUCGAUCAUUUCAUUCAGGCGCUCGUCCCGGUCACGAGAGAUGUUCCCCCAGUCGAGCCCGCAAAGCUAGCAAAAAUGAGUACACAUUUAUUUUGAAAAAUAUUUUAAAAAAUUGGCGUUUGUCUCCCAAUUACAUCCGUCGGUGCAUCUGUGUUAAUUCGAGUCAAGACGCUUAUCCCGGACACGUGAUGUCCCGCCAGUCAAGCCCGCGAAGCUAGCAAAAAUAAGCAAGAAACAGAAAUGUUUGGAAAGCUUCUUUGGAAAGAGAAAAAAGCCCAAUGAAGAGACUGAUGAAGAAGAAGCUACAACUUCUAAGAAAAGGAAAGCUACAUUUAAAAGAAAAUUUCUGGAGUCCUACUUAAAAUAUGGAUUCAUCGCCACAGGUGACUCUGACGAGCCAAGCCCACUCUGCUUAUGUGGCGGCGACAUGCUAGCUAGCGAGGCAAUAAAGCCUUUAUAACUGCUUCGGCACAUGGAGACCAAGCAUCCUGCAUUAAAAGAUAAAUCUUAACCACUUCCGGUGUGAUUGUCUCCGAUUACGCCUCGAUGGGACCGGCUCGUUUCUGAGAAACAAGCUCAGUGCUCCCACUAAUUCAACAUAAUGGUGAGUUUUACUUUUAUGUGGUUUAUACUUUUUAUUUCAUCGUAUUUAUAUAUUUAUUAGAAAUGUAUUACUGUUUUUUUUCGUUUAUAAUGCGCAAAAUUUAACUAAUUUAUUGUCCUAAAAUCUGGGGUGCGCAUUAUACAUGGGUACACAUUUUUUUUUUCUUUUUAAGAAAAUCAUGGUACAACAAAACCAACAACAGGACUGACCGACAAAGUCGUGGAACAAAAAGACAGGGUGACAUUACCAAAGACAGAAACAGAAACCAAACAGACAUCAUGACAGUAACACAUGCAAUGAUCCAACGGUGAGCGAGGGGCAGACAGGACUUAAAUACGAAACACGUUACAUUGAUUGAGGUGACACAGGAAGGGAGGGGCGACGCGAACAGAAACUAUGGCAACCUAGACACAUAGCAAAACUAGGGUCGAGGCAUGACAAAUUUCCCUUGAAAUAAAACUUGAAAUCACCUUUCUUCUUGUUUGUUGUCAAUCGCGCAUUGCAUUCACCCAUCCUGCCCAACACAGUCAGUAAAAUUUAUAAUUGACGACACAUCGUUUGAUGCGUUGGUGCAAUGCUUGAUGGUGUGUUAUUGUCAAAUAUUGUUUGUUUUUUAAUCUCCAUCGCAGACCGGAUAUCAUAUGGAGGCCGCCAUGACAGUAUGCGCAGAACGGAUGCGCAAGACACGUCAGCUAUAUAAAGAGCGAGAGUUGAGUUUUCUUCCUAUUAGUUUCAAUUCACAGUUUAAUUAGCAGUUUCAAUCAGCAAAUAACAAAAUGCGUAUUACAGGAAAUAUUUUAUUUCACAACACUUUGCCUUGUUCCUUUCGUCUCUGCUGUUCACUUCAAACACGCUCCAUACGAACGCAAUGCUCUCGUAUCAGACGCUUGCUCGAUCACCUGCUCGUUUGCUGUCACAAUGUACCCUACACAAAUCGGAAACAUUUGUUGCGGCUCCGAGUCACGAAGAGGGGCAAGUUUUGGUUUCCAAGGGUGUUUUUAUUCCUCUUCAACUUCUCUCCCAUACAGAGCCGCUUUUUUCACAUGUCUGCACUGAUCGCGGUGGUGCCUUUACGGGCAGUUGGAGAAAUCAACGCCAACAAAAAAAAAAUACAUCCAUCCUAGUUAAGACCAUACCAAAGACUAUAAAAAUGGGACCCAUUGCCUCCCUGCGUGUGUGACGAUCAUUGGGACUAUUUAUAUAAAUGUACUAUUUAUACAAAGGCCGGUCUGCGAAAAUAUUUCUGACAUGUAACCGGUCCGUGGCGCAAAAAAGGUUGGGGACCACUGGUCUAUCCAAUUUGCAGAAACAGAAACAAUUUUGAAAAAUAAAAAUGAGAGGAAAAGAGAGAAAUCUAUUUGCAGGCAGAAACUGAUCCACACUAGUGCAUAUUAGUGUCGAGCCCUCAUGGGAAAGUCGAAGAAAUAAAAACCAAAAAAACGACAGAACAUGCUUUCAGGAAUUGGAUGAGGCAAAAUUGUGAAUUUGAGACAUUGCAAUGCUCAAUUUAAUAGGAAUAAUUGAUUGGUUGUGUUAUAAGAUUAUAGAAGAUUCUAUGUGCGAGUUAAAUCAAAGUCAAAGUCACAGUCUGCUUUAUUGUCAAUUUCUUCACGUGAAGAAACACAAAGAGAUCGAAAUUACGUUCUCACUAUCCCACGGUGACAAGACAGUACACAAUAUACAUACAAGUAAACAAGAAGGCACAAACAAUGAAUAAAUAAUAAAUAAAGAGUGAGCGGGGUGACUCACAUCACUCACAAUCGUGGUCGCCUUGCGGGUGAGAUGGGAGGUGUAAAUGUCCUUCAGGGAGGGGAGUGAAGUACCAAUAAUCUUACCAGCUGUGUUCACUAUGCGCUGCAGGGCCUUCAAGUUGUAGUCAGUGCAGCCGCCACCCCAAACAGCAAUACAGCUGGAGAGGACGCUCUUAAUAGUGCCGCGGUAAAAUGUAGUCAUGACGGCCGGAGGAGCGCUUUCUCGCCUGAGUUCCCGCAGGAAGCACAGGCGGCGCUGAGCUUUCUUCGCCAGUGAUGCGGUGUUGGUGGACCAGGAGAGGUCCUCACUGAUGUGCACCCCCAGGAAUCUGGUGCUGCUCACUCUCUCCACCACAGCACCGUCGAUGGUCAGUAGCAGGUGUUCGGUGUGACCCUUCCGGAAGUCAACAACAAUCUGCUUGGUCUUGUUGACGUUCAGCGGGAGGUUGUUGUCCCUGCACCACGUGGCCAGAGGGUCGACCUCCUGUAUUGAGUCUCGUCGCCCCCGGUGAUGAGACCCACCAGAGUCGUGUCGUCGGCAUAUUUCAGCACGCGGUUGCUACUGUAAGUUGCAGUGCAGUCAUGCGUCAGCAGGGUGAAGAGCAGCGGACUGAGCACGCAGCCUUGGGGGGCCCCCGUGCUCAGCGUGAUGCUGGCGGAGAUUUUGUCGCCAACACGUACCACCUGAGGCCUCUGACAGAGGAAGUCCAAUAGCCAGUUGCAGAGGUCAACAACCGCUCCAAGCCAGGAGACUGGGACGACAUAAAGGUUGUCAAAAAGGACAAACUGGGCCAGCAAUGGUGGGAGGGACCAUUCCAAGUCUUGCUGACUACCCCCACUGCGCUGAACAUUGCUGGUAGGCCCAGCUGGAUUCACCUCAGCCACUGGACGUUACAGAGAUUGCUUGACCCCAUUUUCGGAUUGGGCGAAGUCUGACUACAAAGGGGCCUCAUCGUUUAGGGUGGGGCGUCUCAAUGUUGGUGAAGAAUCCAUAAGAUCCCCACUCCGACUAGGCAAUGGGAAAUAUCAGUGUCUCUGCUAUCCUAGUAGCAAGUGGGCUCCACAUGCCAGGUGGAUCCUCUGCUGCAUUGUGGUUGAAGCGUGCUAUGGUCUAUGGCUCAUCUGAAGAGACCAAUUGACAAUGUCGACCAAGGAAAAAGAUGGUCACAUGAUGAGAACUUUGAGGACUGGUGAUGGGACCCCAGAAACCCACACGAAACCAACACUUGGUACCGGGGUGUGACGUUCACUGUGAGAUCCCACACACAGGAGGGAUGCUAUGUGUGUUCCAAACACCCCCCACUUCCUCCACGCAAGUUCACCUGGAGCCAAGAACAAUGACUGUCACUGAAACGAAAUGCAUGACCUCUGUGGGAGGAGUUGGAUUUAAACACCGUGCUGUCACAGUCAGUGAUGCUACCCCUACCGCCCUGGACUCACAGAAAGGAACCUGUGAUCGAACUCUUUUGAAUUAAUCCCAAUGUGACUGUUGAAGGACAAUAGAUGCCACAAGUGGCCUAAACAAAAAGGCUAUCUGAAAUGGACUACACGUGUUUCAUCCAAGAAAAUUAAACCCACAAAUGCAUUAACGACUGCUCUCCAGGAGGAAACUGGAGCCCCCUCAAACAGAUGUCCUGCCCCCUCGAAUCAAACUUUUAGAAGUGAAAAAUCCGCUGAUAGAAACACACGUUAAUCAGCCCCCUCUCUUCUCUCAUGUCGGUGCAGUGUGUGUCCUCACACAGCCUGCUGUCAGGACUCUGCGCCCCUCCGUAAACAUCCAAUCACUAACCGGCCCUGUGUCCGAUGCUUCCUGCGAACUGGACAAGACUGUGCACCAGUGUGGGUGACCGACCACACCUACAGGAUGCAACAUCCUCAGCUGACGACAACACACAACUCUUCUGGACGUCAACGUAGGGCUGUUGCAGCCUUUGAACCACAUUACCCCGUCUGGGGUACGAAUGUCCCUGACAGCCACAAAGUGUGGUCCGUCGGAGACAAAGUCGUUCAUGCGCUUUUUCCUUGAAUCGGAGUUGGGAAACAAUCACUCUUCAUCGAGACACUGAACUAUCGUUUUCAAUCCUUUGUGAAUCUCUUGCUGCAAGUCAAUGAUGAACAAAACAGAGAGAUUCAGGCUAUUGGACUAAUAGUCUUGCAAAACAGGAUGGUUCUGGACUUGAUGACUGGAGAGCAAGUUGGCGUGUGCCACAUCAUUGGGACUUCCUGUUGCACAUACAUUCCAGGAGUUAAUGACACAUCAACGAUGCCGUGAACUCGCUGAAGAAUUUACAGCAGGCCAUGUUGGAGGAUAAAAUCCCACAUCAAUGGGAUUUCUUUUCAUGGCUGUUCUCUGGCGCUUGGUGGCAACUGCUGUUGAAACUUGUGACUCCUAUGAUUGUUGUGCUCAUUUACGACCUGUGUUAUCUCAUGUUUGGAUUCAGCUGUAUCAAGAUCUGUGUCUUCUACCAUAGCUGAAGUGUGAAUACAACAUCUCAGGUAUGUUGAAUGUGAUGAUUUUAAUGCGCUGCGGACAAAAGAUUGCAAUAAUGCUGAUUAGCUGAACGUUUUUCACAGAAACUUGACAAUUUGACCGUCAAACGCCUCACAAGUGAUGAAUACAAUGAUGUUUCUGUGUUUUUAUUUUUAUUUUUCUAUCUUCAUUAUAUUUUCUUGCUUAUGUUUGUUAAUCGGGGUGACAAUCAUAUGAUAAACAGGAGGGAUAUGUUAGAGUUGACAGAUUAGUUUCAUCCUAUGCUUAUGUUGGAAUGUAAUCUGUAAUAAUUAACUAAACGUGUCCUGUCUUAACAAAGUA